CUCCCAUAAUGCAUUGUACAAGAGAUAGAAUGUCAUGUUUCAGCUUCCCUUUCAAUAUAUUGUAUUCCCAGACUUUCAAAACACUUCAGCAAUCUAGUUUUUUGUCAUAUAAAAACUUCUAUCGUUUAAAUAUUGUAGCGGCACCAACUAAAAGUCAAAUAAACGAGCUGCCGGACUAUUUUGGGCAGUGAAAACAUUCUGAAUUUGAAUGAAAC